AUACUUGGUCGGGGGUGGCGGGGGUGGGGGUGGGGGUGGGGGUUGGGGGAAGCUGCUAAGAGCAUGGAUUUGCUUGGAGGCCCAAAUCUCGCCUGCUGGGGCCGCCUCCGAGGCAUCCGGGGGCUGCAGGGUCAUGGCGGAGGCACUGCCCUCUCGCGAUGGGAGAUAGACACUGUGCCAUGAGGACACCGCUGCCUCCACUCAGGUGCCGCUCCUACAGGCUUCCCUCCAGCUGGCCCUUCCUGCCAGGCCCUGGGACCACAAGUAGGAAUGGUCGGUCAUCCUCAUCUCACAGAUGAGGAUGCCAAGGCUAGCAGAUGGUCACGCGGCUAAGAGACUGGGGCCCAGCUCAGGUGUGUCUGAGGCUCCUCCUCCCUCACCCCGUUCAUCACCUGCUGGGCUGCAAACCAUGUGUUCACUUGUUCAACAGACACGGGAGCAGACACGCUGUCAGCAUGGGAAACCAGAGGGAACCCGAUGUGAAGACGCGGGAGAAGAUGGCGACUUAGACGCCAGGAGAGGGGCCCUGGGACGGGUCCUUCCUUGCAGCCUCAGAAGUAGCGAGCCCUGCCCGCACCUUGAUCUGGGACUUCUGGCCUCCAGAAUUGUGGGAGGAUGCACAUCUGCCAGUCCAGCCCCCAUCUGUGUGCUCUGUCGUGGGAGUGUGGGAAACCAGCAGGAGCACUUCUCAGCUUACAAUGCAGGUCCGUCCUGAUGAACCCGGGGCAAGCUCGUGACAUCACUAAGUUGAGACUUCACUGACUGCACCUAACCUAGCGAACAUCACAGCUCAGCCCAGCCUACCAGAAAUAUGCUCAGAACACCUACACCAGCCCACAGCUGGGCACACGCAUCUAACGCAAAGCCUGUUUUAUAAUCCAAUGUUGACUGUCUCACGUAAGAGUACUGUACCACAGAUUGCUAGCCCAGAAAAAAAUCAAAAUUCAAAAUUCA